AUUGAACGCUGGCGGCAUGCUUUACACAUGCAAGUCGAACGGUAACAGGCCGCAAGGUGCUGACGAGUGGCGAACGGGUGAGUAAUGCAUCGGAACGUGCCCAGUCGUGGGGGAUAACGCAGCGAAAGCUGCGCUAAUACCGCAUACGAUCUAUGGAUGAAAGCGGGGGACCGUAAGGCCUCGCGCGAUUGGAGCGGCCGAUGUCAGAUUAGGUAGUUGGUGGGGUAAAGACCUACCAAGCCAACGAUCUGUACAUGGUCUGAGAGGACGACCAGCCACACUGGGACUGAGACACGGCCCAGACUCCUACGGGAGGCAGCAGUGGGGAAUGUUGGACAAUGGGCGCAAGCCUGAUCCAGCAAUGCCGCGUGCAGGAAGAAGGCCUUCGGGUUGUAAACUGCUUUUGUACGGAACGAAACGGUCCGGGUUAAUACCCUGGGCUAAUGACGGUACCGUAAGAAUAAGCACCGGCUAACUACGUGCCAGCCGCCGCCGUAACAC
rnacentral:rRNA from 1 species